GGCUGGCCCAGUUCGGCUCGAAUAAGGAGGCUUAGAGCUGUGCCUAGGACUCCAGCUCAUGCGCCGAAUAAUAGACCUUAGUUUAGGUAUUGGGGCCAAAGGAUGGAUGACCAUUUCAAACGAUCCAGGCUAAGCCAGGAGGAGAGCUCAAAGUCUGAUCUGGGCUGGACUCUUGGUCUGUCGUCCAGGAUAGAGGGCAGGGAUGCCAUCACUACUCACUAUAACCUCAAACUCCUGGGCUCAAGCAAUCCUCCCACCUCAGCCUCCGGAGUAGCUGGGACUACAGCUCUGCUGCCCCCUGCCCCAUACACGUGAUGGAGCAGAAAACGUGCUGUGUGAACCUGUGACUUCAGGGCCUGUUGACGUGGUCGUGCUUGCAUACUCUCUGGACUGGACCUCACUGUGGGAACAACAAGAUCAACAAGAGGAGCAAGAACAACAUCAAGAGUCAGGGCCCGGGGGUCCUGACGGGUACAGGAUGGGUACAGACCCACACAGGAAUCCCAGAGUGUGUUCCACAGCAGGACACGCCUGCGCUGAAAGAGUGGGCAGAAAGGAGCUGACCUGGGAUUAUGAUCCAAACUCAGCUGGGCCUCCCCUACCUGCCCCAGGAUUGUGGAGUGAGAACGUUGCAGCAGGGGAGAACAACGCAGCAAAGCACAGCAGGGGAACCGGAAAUGCUCACCCUUUGACAGGGUACUUUUAGUUCUGGGGCCUUAUCUUAAGGAUAUUCCAACAUAUACAAAAAGAUUCAUGCACAGAGAUAUUUACUUUAGUAUUAUUUACCAUAGGAAAAAAGUUGGAAACAAUACAUUUUAUGUUCUGUAAAAUGAAAGAACAGUUAAAUAAAUCAUGGCUCUAAGACGACUCCAGGGCUGUGUACGGAAGUUCAGGGACUGAAUCAGUUGAGGCUGUUCCACCUGAGCCUAAGCUUCCUCUGCUGUAUGUCAGGAAUCAGGUGGGGGCCAAGCGAGAUCACCACAGUGCAGGCCAGUGUGCAGGGCACAGGUGGGCGCCAGGGAGGGGACGCCGCACAGCCCCAUGCUCUCGCCAAAAACGUGCAGCACAAUUUGGAAGAAAACAUUUCCAUCUGUUAAUAAAGAGCAACGGCCUCUGGUCAUAAGUGA
ensembl:lncRNA novel transcript